rnacentral:lncRNA from 1 species
UUUUCUACUAUCCAGUGGUCCUACCUCCGUCUUAGAUUGUUUUUUGUUUUUUCGUGGCCAACGUUUAACCAUUCGUCUUAUUUAAAAAAUUUAUAUAAAUACUUAAAAAAUUAGUCACGCAUAAAGUACUAUUCAUGAUUUAUCAUCUGAUAAAAACAAAAAUAUUAAUCACAAAUUUUUUUAAAUAAAAUAAAUAAUCAAACGUUUGA